rnacentral:rRNA from 1 species
CCUACGGGUGGCAGCAGUGGGGAAUCUUGGACAAUGGGCGCAAGCCUGAUCCAGCUAUUCCGCGUGUGGGAAGACGGCCUUCGGGUUGUAAACCACUUUUGUAGAGAACGAAAAGUCUGUUGAUAAUACCGAUAGAUGAUGACGGUACUCUAAGAAUAAGCACCGGCUAACUACGUGUCAGCAGCCGCGGUAAUACGUAGGGUGCGAGCGUUAAUCGGAAUUACUGGGCGUAAGGGGUGUGCAGGCGGUUUUGCAAGAUGGAUGUGAAAGCCCCGGGCUUAACCUGGGAAAGCCAUACAUGACUGCAAGACUAGAGUGCGUCAGAGGGGGGUGGAAUUCCAAGUGUAGCAGUGAAAUGCGUAGAUAUUUGGAAGAACACCGAUGGCGAAGGCAGCCCCCUGGGACGCAACUGACGCUCAUACACGAAAGCGUGGGGAGCAAACAGGAUUAGAUACCCUGGUAGUC